CUCAGUAACGGCGAGUGAAGCGGCAACAGCUCAAAUUUGAAAUCUGGCCUCUUUGGGGUCCGAGUUGUAAUUUGUAGAGGAUGUUUCGGGUACCGCUCCGGUUUAAAUUUCUUGGAACAGAAUGUCAUAGAGGGUGAGAAUCCCGUCUUGGACCGGCGGUAGGGCCCAUGUGAAACUCCUUCGACGAGUCGAGUUGUUUGGGAAUGCAGCUCAAAAUGGGUGGUAAAUUUCAUCUAAAGCUAAAUAUUGGCCAGAGACCGAUAGCGCACAAGUAGAGUGAUCGAAAGAUGAAAAGCACUUUGAAAAGAGAGUUAAACAGUAUGUGAAAUUGUUGAAAGGGAAGCGCUUACAACCAGACUUGAGCGCGACGGUUCCCCCUUCCUUUUGGUUGGGCUACUCCGUCGUGUCCAGGCCAACAUCGGUUUUGGGGGUCGGUUAAAGGCGCCGGGAAUGUAUCUACCCUUCGGGCGUAGACUUAUAGCCCGGCGUGUCAUGCGACCUCCCGGGACCGAGGAACGCGCUUCGGCUCGGAUGUUGGCGUAAUGGUUGUCAGCGACCCGUCUUGAAACACGGACC
rnacentral:rRNA from 1 species